AGCUGUGGGGACGACUCUUCUGGAGGAAGCAGCGCGGGCUUGACCGGCGUCGGCCCGCCGCCUCCGCUGCCGCUUCGCCCCAAUCCGGUCCCUCUGACCCGGCCUGACCCGGUCUGGCUUGUUCGGGCUCAGCGGCCGCGAGGCCGCAGCUCCCGAUGGAAAUCAUAUUAUGUAGAAUACUUGGGUGACAUCUGCCUGAGAGAUCUCCAAGAAUUACAGGUAUCUCAUUCAGUUGCUAAACUUAUAUUAGUUAAUUUCCACUGGCAAGUUUCAGAGAUAUUGGACAGAUACAAGUCCAAUUCUGCUCAACUGCUUGUUGAGGCUCGAGUUCAGCCUAAUCCAUCAAAACAUGUUCCCACAUCCCAUCCCCCUCACCACUGUGCAGUGUGUAUGCAGUUUGUGCGAAAGGAAAACCUACUCUCUCUGGCCUGUCAGCACCAGUUUUGCCGUAGCUGCUGGGAGCAGCACUGCUCAGUUCUCGUCAAGGACGGCGUGGGCGUGGGAGUCUCUUGUAUGGCUCAGGACUGUCCACUCCGUACACCAGAGGACUUUGUGUUUCCAUUGCUUCCCAAUGAAGAAUUGAGAGAGAAAUACAGGCGCUACCUCUUCAGGGACUAUGUGGAGAGUCAUUACCAGCUCCAGCUGUGCCCUGGUGCAGACUGCCCCAUGGUUAU
rnacentral:sRNA from 1 species